GCCCGGUUAGCUCAAUCGGUAGAGCGUGAGACUCUUAAUCUCAAGGUUGCGGGUUAGUAUUACAGAGUA
rnacentral:tRNA from 1 species